CUCGCUUGAGAGUCAGAUCAAAACUUGUUGAUGUCAGCAAUGCUUUCGUAUAGGAACGUUGUUACGGAUGAUUUGAUGAACCAUCCUCCAAUGGUGUGAGAUGGUCCGAUGGGCAAUAUAUCAAAAGAAACAUUAAUCGGGGUUUAAGCAGACCAAAUGUCAAAAUGGGCUUAAGAUUAAGUCCACCACAUGGGCUAUCUAUCAUGUAUAAUCAUCACAUUGUUCCCUUUCAAACUCAAAAGCCAUAGCCGUUGAGGCUUGUCAGUCCAUAUUAUGUUCCUUCAGUGGUGCGGAUUCUGUUUUUUU